rnacentral:tRNA from 1 species
GGAUGUGGCUCAAGUGGUAGCGCGCUCGCCUGGCAUUCGUGUGGCCUGGGUUCGAUCCUCAGCACCA